GGGAGUUUGGUCUAGUGGUAUGAUUCUCGCUUCGGGUGCGAGAGGCCGCGAGUUCAUUCUCUAUUGAUGGCAACUCCCC
rnacentral:tRNA from 1 species